UGGGAUAGCGGAUGUAAUUCAGAGUGCCAGUUCCUACUAUUGGUUUUAAAGGUUUGUUCAGGGAUUUGUCAAGCAUUUAUAUUUACAUUCGAUAUAGUUGGUCUUCUGGAGAAACUUGAUGUAAUCAGUUACAAAGCUGCAUGUAAGAGUAGUUACAGUUACAACAGAUGGAAGAGAAACGGGACAAGAGAAUAGGCAAAUCAGGCCAUUUAUGGCUAAGUGCUCGACGAAAGAAAAGAAAAGCAACGGCUGCUAUCGCAUACCAGCAAGAGAGAAAAAAAAGAAGACUUGAAGAAAUCUCCACAUUUCCAGAGGAGGUAACGUGGACGCUAACGAGUUCGGGAAACGAGAACGAUGAUUCGUCAGCACCUGGUACAAGUCAGACAGAAAGCGGAAUUUUCAACUUGAUAACUCAAAAAGAGCUAAUGCAUGAAGCUGCUGCUAGCCAGCAUACAGAAGAGAAUCUUGGUCAACAUAAUCAUGCAGAUUUGGAACACGAAUGUGACGUUUCCGAAGAUGAAGUACUUUCUACAAAGCUGAAAACUAUGAGUAAAAACAUACCUGAAGUAGAAGAGGUACUACAGGAAGAUGGGAUACACACGAAGACAUACGCAGUACUGAAACAGCUGUCUCCAAUAUUUGUGAACUCUUUGGAAGCUCAGGAUUAUGAAACCAACACAGAAAAUUUGCACUCUCUGGACCACCUAUCCGUGACUUCAAUCACUUCACAUGGACAGGUAAAUGUUUUAACUUUGCUGGUAAUAUGUACUACUAUAUCCAACCAUCGCAAGUAUAACUUUGUUCUCGAGAAAUAG